rnacentral:rRNA from 1 species
UGUUCCUUACGGGAGGCAGCAGUCGGGAAUAUUGCACAAUGGAGGAAACUCUGAUGCAGCGACGCCGCGUGAGUGAAGAAGUAUUUCGGUAUGUAAAGCUCUAUCAGCAGGGAAGAAAAUGACGGUACCUGACUAAGAAGCCCCGGCUAACUACGUGCCAGCAGCCGCGGUAAUACGUAGGGGGCAAGCGUUAUCCGGAUUUACUGGGUGUAAAGGGAGCGUAGACGGCAUGGCAAGUCAGAUGUGAAGACUAUGGGCUCAACCCAUAGCCUGCAUUUGAAACUGUAUUUCUUGAGUGCUGGAGG